rnacentral:rRNA from 1 species
UACGUAGGUGGCAAGCGUUGUCCGGAUUUACUGGGCGUAAAGAGCGCGCAGGCGGUCGAGUAAGUCGAAUGUGAAAGCCCCCGGCUUAACUGGGGAGGGUCAUUCGAUACUGUUCGACUUGAAGGCAGGAGAGGGCAGCAGAAUUCCCGGUGUAGUGGUGAAAUGCGUAGAUAUCGGGAGGAAUACCAGUGGCGAAGGCGACUUCCUGGCCUGUUCUUGACGCUGAGGCGCGAAAGCUAGGGUAGCAAACGGG